UCUGGUUGAUCCUGCCAGUAGUCAUAUUGCUUGACUCAAAGAUUAAGCCAUGCACGUGUCAGUACAAUCCCUAGCAUGGAAAAACUGCGGAUGGCUCAUUAGAUCAGUUAUGGUUCCUUAGAACGUACAUCCCAAGUGGAUAACCCUGGCAAUUCUAGAGCUAAUACAUGCACCGAAGCUCCGACCGCAAGGGACGAGCGCAGUUAUUGGACCGAACGCAUCCCGGCGUCAAACCCGGGGCUGUUGAGGUGACUCUGGAUAACCAUGCGGAUCGCACGGCCUUUGCGCUGGCGACAAUUCUUUCGAAUGUCUGCCCUAUCAGAGUCGAUGGUAGUCGAGAAGGACUACCAUGCUGACAACGGGUAACGGGGAAUCAGGGUUUGAUUCCGGAGAGGGAGCCUGAGAAACGGCCACCACAUCCAAGGAAGGCAGCAGGCACACAAAUUACCCACUCCUGACACAGGGAGGUAGUGACGAAUAAUAACAAUACGGGCGUCUUUCGAGGCCCCGUAAUUGGAAUGAGUGCAAUUUAAAUCCUUCAACGAGGAUCUAUUGGAGGGCAAGUCUGGUGCCAGCAGCCGCGGUAAUUCCAGCUCCAAUAGCGUAUAUUAAAGCUGUUGCAGUUAAAAAGCUCGUAGUUGGAUCCUAGUCUUCUGGGCGGGCGGUCCGCCUCGCUGGUGGACGUCUGCGUCGCCCAGGUCUGAGUUGCUGGGGAGGAUCCUGGUGCCCUUUACCGGGUGCCGGGGUCUGCCCGCAAGUUUUACUUUGAAAAAAUCAGAGUGCUCAAAGCAGGCCGGCAGAGCCUGAAUGCAUUUUCAUGGAAUAAAUGAACAAGACCUCCGUUCUGUUGGGUUCCAGUUCUGGAGGUAAUGAUCAAGAGGGCCUGACGGGGGCAUACGUAUUGCAGGGCGAGAGGUGAAAUUCAGUGACCCUUGCAAGACGAACUAAAGCGAAAGCAUUUGCCAAGAAUGGUUUCCUUGAUCAAGAACGAAAGUCGGAGGAUCGAAGACGAUCAGAUACCGUCGUAGUUCCGACUGUAAAUGAUGCCAGCUGAAAAUCCGCCAGCGUGUCAUCCCUGACCUGGCUGGCAUUCCCCGGGAAACCUAAGCCUUUGGGUUCCGGGGGAAGUAUGGUUGCAAAGCUGAAACUUAAAGGAAUUGACGGAAGGGAACCACCAGGAGUGGAGCCUGCGGCUUAAUUUGACCCAACACGGGAAAACUCACCCGGCCCGGACACUGUAAGGAUUGACAGAUUGAGAGCUUUUUCUUGAUUCGGUGGUUGGUGGUGCAUGGCCGUUCUUAGUUGGUGGAGUGAUUUGUCUGGUCAAUUCUGAUAACGAACGAGACUCUAGCCUGCUAAAUAGUGCGCCGAUCGGUUCUGCCGGUCGAGCGGUUACUUCUUAGAGGGACAAC
rnacentral:rRNA from 1 species